rnacentral:rRNA from 1 species
GAUGAAUGCUGGCGGCGCGCCUAACACAUGCAAGUCGAGCGGUAACAUGGACUUCGGUCUGAUGACGAGCGGCGGACGGCUGAGUAACGCGUGGGAACAUGCCCCGAAGUGAGGAAUAACUGCCCGAAAGGGUGGCUAAUGCCGCAUAUGAUCUUCGGAUUAAAGGAUUUAUCCGCUUUGGGAGUGGCCUGCGUACGAUUAGGUAGUUGGUGAGGUAAUGGCUCACCAAGCCUACGAUCGUUAACUGGUCUGAGAGGAUGAUCAGUCAGACUGGAACUGAGACACGGUCCAGACUCCUACGGGAGGCAGCAGUGAGGAAUCUUCCACAAUGGGCGAAAGCCUGAUGGAGCGACGCCGCGUGCAGGAUGAAGGCCUUCGGGUUGUAAACUGCUUUUAUAAGUGAAGAAUAUGACGGUAACUUAUGAAUAAGCACCAGCUAACUACGUGCCAGCCGCCGCGGUA